UACAUACCUCAGCAUGGUAAUGCCAGAGUUUGGAAAGACAUGCGGAGUAUGAAUUGAUUGCUGCUUCUUGGUUUAUUCUUUCCACUUUUGCUUAUUGUUUCUAAUGCCAUUUUUAUGAGAACUCCUUGAGAUACUUCCCUUUAAUGAGCAGGAAAUAGGAUGGCCAGCAGAGAGGGAGCGGGGGUGGUUAGAAUACAGUCCUUUGUUAUAUUCCUUUAAUGUCCAGGGUCUAGCAGCAAGAAACUGUCCUUAAAUACUUCUUAUUUAUUUGUCAGGGGGACAGUACUGUUGAAUAAACACCGUAUGGUAAAAGACUGAGCCAUGGAAGACACAGUUAGGUUAGACAGACCUUUAGUCUGACCCAGUAGAACACUUCUUAUAUGCUGUUUCUAGAGGAACGGGAGGAUUCUAGUUAGAGUAAUUUACCAAGGUAAUAACAGAAAGGGAAAGUCCCAAUUAAAAAAAACAACAACAACAACUAUAUUUUAUUAAGUUUUUCUUAUCUUUUCUUCCUGAUGUAGAAGAGGGACCUGGAAACUAAGUGUAGUCCCUUUAAAGCUUAUAGUAUGCAAGAUAUAUGGAGAUUUUCAUGACUAUUAGUAGGCUGCGAUAUCUGAAAGGCCACGUGGACCAAAUAAUGUUUGAAUAAGACAGGUUGACACACCUACACACUGUAAGCAGAUUUAGAAACUGCAGCGUGACUUUAUCUUCUGCACUUCAGGUCUGAGAAGAGGAAGUUAAGAAAGCCUUGGUUAUUCAGGUUGCAAAAGAAGCGCAAGGAUUUAAGGCAGUUUCACUUUCAACUACUGAACUGUGGUUUAAAGUCGGCUCAAAAUAAAUGUUGAUUAACUGUAUGAAAAUGCAAGGGCAAAUAGUGUAUUAAACCUGA
rnacentral:lncRNA from 1 species